rnacentral:lncRNA from 1 species
UGUCACGGGCAUCCAGACGGGAUCCAGUGCAUCCUCUUUUAGAAGAAAGGCCUGUCUCCAGAUCCCCGAGUCCCUCUAGCAUCUCCCAGAAGGUGUCAGACGCAGCAGUGUCCAGGGAGCGGCAGCAGGUCCUUAUCAUGGUCCAAGGGUCCCUCCCAGCCUCCAAGUCUCACCCCAUACAUGAAAAAAGGUGGCCCCGGUUUCCCGCCACCUCCUCCACAGCACCAUCUCUUUGAAGACCCAGUGCCCACACUCCGGGGGAUUUGGGCCCUCCCCUGUCUCCCUCCAGCCCCCUGGGGCCAGUCCGCUGCUGGGUAUCUCCAGGACGGGCCAGGCUCAGCAAGUUCCACCAAAGCCUGCUUCUCUCCUGGGGGUUCCCCAUGUCUCUGGGUGGCCCCACUGCCCUCCUGGUCAGCAUAUUGAGGAAGAGUCUGGGGACACACCAGAAAAGGACAGGAUCAAGAUACUCUGACCCAUGGAUCCCCUGGGCCCGGCCAAGCCACAGUGGUCGUGGCGCUGCUGUCUGACCACGCUGCUGUUUCAGCUGCUGAUGGCUGUGUGUUUCUUCUCCUAUCUGCGUGUGUCUCAAGACGAUCCCACUGUGUACCCUAAUGGGUCCCGCUUCCCAGACAGCACAGGGACCCCCGCCCACUCCAUCCCCCUGAUCCUGCUGUGGACGUGG